AAUGUUUGUGUCUCCCCAGAAUUCAUGUUGAAACCCUAUUCCCCAGUGUGAUAGCAUUAGGAGUUGGGCCUUUGAGAGGAUAAAAUGAGAAGUCAGCAGUCUGGAACCCGGAAGAGAAACCUCAUCAGAAACUGACCAUGCUGGCACCCUAAAACUGGGACUUCCAGCCUCCAGAAUUAUGACAUGAGAUAUCAAGGAGGAAAGAGAAAGGAGC
rnacentral:lncRNA from 1 species